rnacentral:lncRNA from 1 species
GCGACAGCCCGCCGCUUCCCUCCGCUCCCUUCGCCGCGCCUCGCGUGCUAGCGGUGCCCUUGUGAGCCACUGCGUUCUCCAAGGCCAGAACGGGACAGUUGACGAUGGUCGUACUUCUCCAUGUUCUGAGACCAGUUUAAACAAAAACAAAAACCAGACAACAACCUUGCAAGGGAAAGAAUUCAGAGUAAAUAAACAGUCUUUUUCUGGGAAGUAAAAUAUUUCCCUAAGAUGGAGAAAUUGAGAUGAGAGCUCAUCCACAAGAUUACCCAUCAAUGAGCACCAAUAGCAACCAAAUCCACUAGAAGACUGGGAGCUUUUAAGUCAAGAAACUUACAUCAGUAUCAUCAUUCCAAGAAGCGGUAUCCAAGCUGUUUUAUCGAAAGUGCGCAUGGGAGGCAGAUUUUGACUCCAAAAGUCCAGGAUGGGGCCUGAGGUUCUGCAUGUCUAACAAUUUCCCAGCUGAUGCCAAAGCUGCUGAUCAGAGUCUACACCUUAAGAAAUAAGACUCUGAGAAUUUAUAGAAACAAACAUUAGAAGGCAGGAAUGUGGAGAGAAGAAAGCUACCUGACAAGGGAAUCUCAGGAUACAAGGAAAACACCAAGGUGAAGACACUUAAAGAAGGUGACAUAUGACCACAAGAAUUAAGAACAAACAGGGAAACAUGAUAUCACAAGAAAAAAAUAUGAAGCCAGUGACUAACCCUGAAGGGACAGAGAAGAAUGUACUGCCUGACAAAGAAUUCAACAUUUCUAUUUUAAAGAAGAUCCUUGAGGAAUCACCACACUGUCUUCCACAAUGGUUGAACUAAUUUACACUCCAACCAACAGGGUAAAAGCGUUCCUAUUUCUACACAUCCUCUCCACCAUCUGUUGUUUCCUGACUUUUUAAUGAUCACCAUUCUAACUGGCCUGAGAUGGUAACUUGUUGUGGUUUUGAUUUUCAUUUCUAUAAUGACCAGUGAUGAUGAGCUUUUUCCCAUAUGUUUGUGGGCUGCAUAAUGUCUUCUUUUGAGAACUGUCUCUUCAUAUCCUUCGCCCACUUUCUGAUAGGGUUGUUUGUUUUUUUCUUGUAAAUUUGUUUAAGUUCUUCGUAGAUUCUGGAUAUUAGCCCUUUGUCAGAUGGAUAGAUUGCAAAAAUUUUCUCCCAUUCUGUUCAGGUCUUGUCCCCAUUUUUAAUCCCAGGCUUUUCUUGCUAUUGAGUUUUUAAAUAUAAUUUGGAUAUUAACUCUUUAUCACAUAUAUACAAUGUAUAAGAAAUAUGCAGAUAUUUCAUAUCAUUAUGUAGAUUGUCUAUUUUCUCUGUUGA